rnacentral:rRNA from 1 species
UAGGGAAUCUUCGGCAAUGGACGAAAGUCUGACCGAGCAACGCCGCGUGUGUGAAGAAGGUCUUCGGAUUGUAAAGCACUUUCGACGGGGACGAUGAUGACGGUACCCGUAGAAGAAGCCCCGGCUAACUUCGUGCCAG